rnacentral:rRNA from 1 species
CCUACGGGUGGCAGCAGUAGGGAAUUUUCGGCAACGGGGGGAACCCUGACCGAGCAACGCCGCGUGAACGAAGAAGUUAUUCGUAAUGUAAAGUUCUUUUAAGAGGGAAGAGCAGAAGACGGUACCUCUUGAAUAAGCCACGGCUAACUACGUGCCAGCAGCCGCGGUAAUACGUAGGUGGCAAGCGUUGUCCGGAUUUACUGGGUGUAAAGGGCGUGCAGCCGGGAAGACAAGUCAGAUGUGAAAUCCCGCGGCUCAACCGCGGAACUGCAUUUGAAACUGUUUUUCUUGAGUACCGGAGAGGUCAUCGGAAUUCCUUGUGUAGCGGUGAAAUGCGUAGAUAUAAGGAAGAACACCAGUGGCGAAGGCGGAUGACUGGACGGCAACUGACGGUGAGGCGCGAAAGCGUGGGGAGCAAACAGGAUUAGAUACCCGUGUAGUC